CAGGAAAGCACAUCCCCCACCUGACCCCAGCCACGGCCUCUUCGUCCCCCUCAGGCCCGCUCCCACUCACAGUCAUGAGGAAUACCAGCACGGCCCUGGGCUCUGCCGCGAGCACCAGCUCUGUUCCCUGGGUGCCUGGUCAAGCGGCUGCCUGGUAAUCAUUCUUUGGCCUUGCGGUUUUGAAGCCCUCCACCGUCUCUGGGCCUCCCCUCCUCCCUCCCCUCUUUACUCAGCCCCCGCCCCCCAGGCCUGAGUCUUGGGUCUCUUUUUCUGUCAAACUCCUCGGUAAAACCACAGAUGAAUGUAAACAUCCCCUCCCCGUGCGGCCCAGGGAAAGGAGGGGCAAGGGGCUCUAGGACUCGGGAAAGGCUGCUCCACCUCCUUCACGGGGGCGUAACAGAGAAACGCGGAGACCGUGUGGAAACUCUGGUCACGCCGACUACCCCUCACAGAUGACAAUGAGAAAUUCUGGACGCAAAUAUAUAUGUUUCGAAAAACAAUGUGAAGGCCCUGGAGCACGAGUAAAAGCAGGCAGAAGCUGGAAAGGAGCCGACCCCUGAAAACAGAAACUGCAGCCAGUGAGACGCAUGUUGGUGGCAACGGACUGACAGACGCUCACAAAGGAAGCUGCGGGCUUGGCUACUCAGCACAUGGAAAAGUGUGCAGCAUCAUUAGUCACCAGGGGAAUGCAAAUUAAAACCACAGGGAGACCCCACUGCACACCCAUUCUGAAAUUCAAAGACUGACCACACGGACCAUCAGUGGGGUGUGGAGAGGGGGAACUCGUAUGCCGCCGGUGGGAAUUCAGAAAUGGCACAACCAUUGCAAAACGGAUCGCCAGUUUCUUAGGAAGGUAAAUAUACACCUGACAUUUGACCCAACAAUUCCACUCCUACGUAUUAUCCAAGAGAAACGGAAUGUGUCCACAAAGGGACCUACCUCAAAUGUUGGUAGUAGCUUUAUCCGUGUUACCAAGAAACUGGAAACAACCGGCACGUCCAUCAAGUGGAGAAUGGACACACUAAGUGCAGAAUACGACACAUGGGCUACUGGGCCACGGAAAGGGAAGGAGCGGUGAAACAGCCACGUGGAUGCCCUCUCCUGCUGGCGCCUCCUAAACUGAUGCUGCUGGCCACGAGCUCCCCUUUGAGUCGAGGCACACAGGCGGCACCUCCGCACAUCUCCUGAGAACCUUCCGGGAGCACAAAGGAAAUCCGGACUUCCCCCACGAACCGGUUCCUGACCAGCUGUUCCCACUGGCUAGGUAGGACCACCAGGGAGCCUGCCGUUCAAGCUGAGAGCCCCGAGGGCCCCCUUGGUUCUUUCCUCUACCUUCCUCCCACGUUCCACAGCAAGUCCCGCAGGUUCUGCCUGCACCAGCUACCUUGGAUCGCUCCACCUCCACCGCCCGAGUCCAAGUCACGACUGUGUCGCACGCACAACGACCGGAGUGGCCUCCUAAGGGCAUUAAUUAGCUCACACCACUUACCGGCUUACAAUCCCCACCGGUCCCUCCCCUCUCUUGGAAGGACAUCCCAUCUCCUCCUUGCCCGGCCCGUGCCGCCCGCUGACCUCAUCCCCCGAGCGCCCCGGCCCGGCCUUUCCGCUCUGAGUCCCCGUCCCGGGCCGUGCUGGCGCUUCCUGCCCGGCUUGGUCAUCCCUGCAGGCGAGGGCUCCCCUCCAGCUCGAGCCGGGGCGGCCGGGGAGCUGGGCUACGGGGUCCGAAGCCCGGCCCGCCGUCUCACGCCCCAUCCUCGCUCUCACGACCUGCCCUUUUCUCUGACGCCCCCGCGGAGGAUCUAGAGCCGCGACCCCCGCCCCGGCCCGCCGCGCGCCCGGAAGUCGCGGUCCCCGGCCGCGCAUGCUCGCUCCCUCCUCCCCCCGCGCUCUCGCGUCACGUGGGAGGGCGCGCGAGCGGCCCGGGAAGUCCCGUCCGGAAACGCGAGCCG
ensembl:lncRNA